rnacentral:rRNA from 1 species
AACGAACGCUGGCGGCAUGCCUAACACAUGCAAGUCGAACGAGUGCCUUCGGGUGCUAGUGGCGCACGGGUGCGUAACGCGUGGGAAUCUGCCCUUAGGUUCGGAAUAACAGUUAGAAAUGACUGCUAAUACCGGAUGAUGACGUUAAGUCCAAAGAUUUAUCGCCUGAGGAUGAGCCCGCGUAGGAUUAGCUAGUUGGUGUGGUAAGAGCGCACCAAGGCGACGAUCCUUAGCUGGUCUGAGAGGAUGAUCAGCCACACUGGGACUGAGACAGUGCCCAGACUCCGCCGGGGGGCAGCAGUGGGGAAUAUUUGACAAUGGGCGCAAGCCUGAUCCAGCAAUGCCGCGUGAGUGAUGAAGGCCUUAGGGUUGUAAGGCUCUUUUACCCGUGAUGAUAAUGACAGUAGCGGGAGAAUAAGCCCCGGCUAACUCCGUGCCAGCCGCCGCCGUAA